rnacentral:rRNA from 1 species
UGGGGAAUAUUGCACAAUGGGCGCAAGCCUGAUGCAGCCAUGCCGCGUGUAUGAAGAAGGCCUUCGGGUUGUAAAGUACUUUCAGUCGGGAGGAAGGUGGUAAGGUUAAUAACCUUAUCAAUUGACGUUACCGACAGAAGAAGCACCGGCUAACUCCGUGCCAGCAGCCGCGGUAAUACGGAGGGUGCAAGCGUUAAUCGGAAUUACUGGGCGUAAAGCGCACGCAGGCGGUUGAUUGAGUCAGAUGUGAAAUCCCCGGGCUUAACCCGGGAAUUGCAUCUGAUACUGGUCAGCUAGAGUCUUGUAGAGGGGGGUAGAAUUCCAUGUGUAGCGGUGAAAUGCGUAGAGAUUUGGAGGAAUACCGGUGGCGAAGGCGGCCCCCUGGACAAAGACUGACGCUCAGGUGCGAAAGCGUGGGGAGCAAACAGG